rnacentral:rRNA from 1 species
CCUACGGGAGGCAGCAGUAGGGAAUCUUGCGCAAUGGGCGAAAGCCUGACGCAGCCAUGCCGCGUGAAUGAUGAAGGUCUUAGGAUUGUAAAAUUCUUUCACCGGGGACGAUAAUGACGGUACCCGGAGAAGAAGCCCCGGCUAACUUCGUGCCAGCAGCCGCGGUAAUACGAAGGGGGCUAGCGUUGCUCGGAAUUACUGGGCGUAAAGGGAGCGUAGGCGGAUAGUUUAGUCAGAGGUGAAAGCCCAGGGCUCAACCUUGGAAUUGCCUUUGAUACUGGCUAUCUUGAGUAUGGAAGAGGUAUGUGGAACUCCGAGUGUAGAGGUGAAAUUCGUAGAUAUUCGGAAGAACACCAGUGGCGAAGGCGACAUACUGGUCCAUUACUGACGCUGAGGCUCGAAAGCGUGGGGAGCAAACAGGAUUAGAUACCCUGGUAGUCCACGCCGUAAACGAUGAGUGCUAGUUGUCGGCAUGCAUGCAUGUCGGUGACGCAGCUAACGCAUUAAGCACUCCGCCGUCGGGAGGUACGGUCGCGAAGAAUUAAAACUAACAAAUAGAAGUUAGACGGACGUGAGACGUAGCCGAACGGACGACCGACGAACGGGGAGGUUAGGG